rnacentral:lncRNA from 1 species
CGAUGUCAAUUUUUUUUUUAUUAAAAGUUUUAAAAUCAAAAUUACUUUUGUAUAAUAAAACACAAUUGAAACAUAUAUACAUGUUGGGAGCAAUUUCUUUAAAUUUUGAUUUUAAAACUUUUAAUAAAAAAAAAAUUGACAUCGUAAACAGGUUAUUAUGUAAUGAUAACUUUAGUGAUUAUGAGUUUGUUUUGCGUAAGAAUAUUGUACCUUCUUAUGAACUGGAAAACAGAAAUAAACAUUUAGAAGAUGAACAGAUGUUUGAGUUUGUUAAAAAUGAUAAUAAUAUUAUUGAUAAUGUCACAUAUAGUACUAACGUAGCUAAUACUACUGCUAACAGUAGCAAUAACAACAGCAAUACCAGUAACAAUAACAAUAUAAUUUUAACAAAAAAAAAUAGAAAGAGCUAUAGCAGAGCACGUUUUAAAGGAUAUAACCAGUUAUAUAAGUACGAAAAUGCUAAUAAAAAUAUAUACUUCAAAAUAGAUUUUAAAAAGGGAUUGAAAAAUGAUAAGAAUUGUAUAUACUUUAUAAAUGAAACAUUAUCACAUAAUACAUUUUUUAAUAUGUGUUAUUUAAAUAGAAUGAAUAAAAUUAAUAAUAUUUAUAACACAAAUAACUGUAACAGUAGUUAUAUAAAUAACAACAAUUUAUGUAUAUCUACAACUAUUAGCAUGUUUGAGAAGAAUAAAAAAAAGUUUCAUAAAUGUUUAAUAUGUUGUAUGUUCUAUAAAUGUCACAAAAAGAAUGAAAAUGGUAAUUGUUGUGGUACUAAUAAUAAUGACAAUAUGAACGAUAUGAAUAACAUAAACAAUAGUGUCAGUUAUAAUAAUAAUUGUUCGUUAAACCAUCAUAUAUGCAACAUAUGUAAUGUAAAAUAUAGUUAUAUUUUAAAAUAUAUGACAUAUAAAAAAAGAAACGAUAAAACAUAUUUGUAUAUAAUAAAUGAGAAAAAAAUAUUUUAUGAACUUGUUUUUUUUAUAAUUGAAAUAAGUAUGUUUUAUUUAUAUCGAAAGAAUUUUUUCGAAAUAAUAUGUAAGUUGUUAGAUAAUAUAUUCAAAAAGAAUCGUAAAUAUGUAUAUAUAAAAUUACCACAUUUGUUAUAUUUUUUAAUAAACAUUUUGAACAAAGAGAUUCCAAAUUGAUAAUAAAAAAAAAAAUGAAGGCA